GUUUAUAAAACUCUUAUAUUUAAGUAUAUAAUGAAGAGUCAGUUUUAGGAUUUUUUUAUUAUUUUAUACUUUUUAUAUUAUAUAAAUUGUAAUGACAGUUUGUUGUGAAGGAAGGUUAGUAGCAAAGAGGAUUAAAACUCCGGAUUUCAGUAGUACUCUAAAAAGAACAGAUCUGUUGUGAGUUUGCAUUUUUCGUCAAAUUUUAAAUGUGUGUUUUAUAAAAUGUUGGUUUAUUAAAUUCUUAAAGACGAUAUAUAUUUUUUUAAUUUUGAAAACGAGUAAAUAUAUUUACAUUAACUACUAAUUAUUAUGAUGUUUUGUGAGAGUGAUUGUUAUUAUUUUUGCUUAUGAUUACUUCUAGCUAAAUGAAAUUCCAUAUCAUAACCAAAAGGUGUUUGGUUAGAAUAUAUAUGUCGAUCUUUUUAAAGGUUUUCCUAGUAUAUGUUAAGUUAAAACUUCAAGAUUAAAAGUUUAAGGUUUGAAAAGGAGACAAACAACCUUGAAAUACGAAUACUCAACAAGUAAAAAUUCUUGUACGAAAGUUCCCAGAAAACUCGACAUAUCUCUUUAAAUGGUAAUGACCUCAAUAUUGUUGUCAGUGGCCAUUGUAGUGAAUAGUAAAGACGUUAAUCCCAACCUCAUUUUAUAUAUUACUCAAUAAAUGUAUGGUAAAAUAUAUUCAUUAAGAAAUAUUCGGUUACAGGAAUGAAAAUUAAUGGGAAUACGCGAAUAAAUUUUAGCGUUUUCUUCUUCAUCUACGCCGAGUAGAACGGCGCAGUUGCACGUAGAAUGCAAUUGUGUCGUUAUUACGAAGUUUGGUUUUCUAAAUUUGAGUACACUUGGUUACAAAACGUUUUCGUAAGGAUAUGCAGAAUAUGGGUUUGUGGAACGUAAUCUAUCUACAAAAUUCUUAAAUUAUUUCGGAUGUGUCCACAACAUGCAUCUAAAUGCAUAGUUUGGGCUAAUUGCGUUAAUAUUUAUGUGUUUUAUGAGUGGGGCAGUGGGCUAAAAUGAAGAAGAUCUAAUAUAAAUUCGAUAUACCUAUAUUAAACUAGGAUUUCGGUCAGGCAUUGUAAAAGUGUCCUUGGUUAUCGAUAUUCGUUGUACUUUGGUCUUAAUUUGCGUACUAACGGAGGAAAUUGUUGUAGAAUUUUAUGUACUAGACAUUUCUGUGAAGACAAAUGAAAGGUGAUAAGCUAUUGGAGGAUAAAAAGCUAAUUACGAUUUGCUGUUCAUGAGCCACGUGAUCGAGGUCGUUCAGUUUCGCUAUAAUACUGUGUUUCGAAAGGAUUUAAAUAACAUUUGUAUGCAAGAUAUGAGAGAAAUUCCUAUUAUCUGCUGAAUGUUGAUCCGUCUUAAUCUAUUCAAGAAAUCAUUCACUUAUUCAAAGAAGUUUAUAGAGUUAAUUUUGAAAGAUGUGUGGACGAUUUUGUAGUUUAUUUUGUGCCUGUUUGUUAGUUUGCACCACUAGAAUUCAAAACACUCAUUCUAGAAGUGAAAAUCAUAGUCACGGAUAUUUUCAUAAUGAACAGAAGGAAAAGGAUGAAGAUGGACACGAAUCUGCCGAUCAUAGAUUCUUUUUGAAAGAAAUUUUUAAGAAAUAUGGACAAGGUGAUGCAAUGACUUUCAAGCAGUUUGAAAAUCUAUUAUUUAAUUUAGGUCUGAAUCAACUUAUGAAGAGUUAUGUUAAUCAUUAUGAAUUUGAAAGCAGAAAAUCUUUGGGACCAUCAUUGGAGCAUGAAA